UGCAAGUCGAGCGGACAGAUGGGAGCUUGCUCCCUGAUGUUAGCGGCGGACGGGUGAGUAACACGUGGGUAACCUGCCUGUAAGACUGGGAUAACUCCGGGAAACCGGGGCUAAUACCGGAUGCUUGUUUGAACCGCAUGGUUCAAACAUAAAAGGUGGCUUCGGCUACCACUUACAGAUGGACCCGCGGCGCAUUAGCUAGUUGGUGAGGUAACGGCUCACCAAGGCAACGAUGCGUAGCCGACCUGAGAGGGUGAUCGGCCACACUGGGACUGAGACACGGCCCAGACUCCUACGGGAGGCAGCAGUAGGGAAUCUUCCGCAAUGGACGAAAGUCUGACGGAGCAACGCCGCGUGAGUGAUGAAGGUUUUCGGAUCGUAAAGCUCUGUUGUUAGGGAAGAACAAGUACCGUUCGAAUAGGGCGGUACCUUGACGGUACCUAACCAGAAAGCCACGGCUAACUACGUGCCAGCAGCCGCGGUAAUACGUAGGUGGCAAGCGUUGUCCGGAAUUAUUGGGCGUAAAGGGCUCGCAGGCGGUUCCUUAAGUCUGAUGUGAAAGCCCCCGGCUCAACCGGGGAGGGUCAUUGGAAACUGGGGAACUUGAGUGCAGAAGAGGAGAGUGGAAUUCCACGUGUAGCGGUGAAAUGCGUAGAGAUGUGGAGGAACACCAGUGGCGAAGGCGACUCUCUGGUCUGUAACUGACGCUGAGGAGCGAAAGCGUGGGGAGCGAACAGGAUUAGAUACCCUGGUAGUCCACGCCGUAAACGAUGAGUGCU
rnacentral:rRNA from 1 species